UGAGGAACAUGACCUUCGGCGGGGGAUAGCCGGCCCAACGGCCGGGUAAUACCGCGUACGACCACAUGGGGACAUCCCUGAGUGGUGAAAGCAGCAAUGCGCCGAUGGAGUGCCUCGCGGCCUAUCAGCUAGUUGGUGAGGUAACGGCUCACCAAGGCGACGACGGGUAGCUGGUCUGAGAGGAUGGCCAGCCACAUUGGGACUGAGACACGGCCCAGACCUCUACCGGGAGG
rnacentral:rRNA from 1 species